GCCAUAUCAUAGUCUCGAGGGGGAGGGCGGGUGGUGGUCAGGUUGGGACAGGACGGGAUUCGCUGAAUAUCGAGAUGAGGAAACCACUCUCAAAGUUAACAAUUAAAACAGGGAUGAGCAUAUAGAAGGCUCAAACUAAUGCAACAAACUCUCCCUAAGAUAUGCCUAUGUCCCGAAUGAAGUUUGGCUCAAACUUCGAAAUUCUUUCUACAAGUUUCGAUUGUUUCUGUAUCCCCAUCCCGAACCUGUGACCUAAUUUUCUUCUCACAAACAAAAAUCAAUAAAAUUUAAAAUCCUUACACUUCCAACUAGCCGCUGGCAACUAUCUCAUGGAUGGCAUCACUCACGACUUCGUCAUCUGAUCUAACGGCCAGCUUCAUCGCAACCUCUCGUGAUGAAUCAAUUCCGAAUGAUAAUCGCACGAGUACCUUCACGUUGCCAAUGUAUACACCAGAUAAUAGGCAGGUGUGUGAUCUUGAGUUGCUUGCGACAGCCUCG
rnacentral:misc_RNA from 1 species